CUUGGUCAUUUAGAGGAAGUAAAAGUCGUAACAAGGUUUCCGUAGGUGAACCUGCGGAAGGAUCAUUACAGUGUCCCUGCCCUCACGGGUAGAAACACCCACCCUUGUGUAUUAUAUCUUUGUUGCUUUGGCAGGCCGCCUUCGGGCACCGGCUCCGGCUGGAUCGCGUCUGCCAGAGGAAACCCAAACUCUGAAUGUUAGUGUCGUCUGAGUACUAUCUAAUAGUUAAAACUUUCAACAACGGAUCUCUUGGUUCUGGCAUCGAUGAAGAACGCAGCGAAAUGCGAUAAGUAAUGUGAAUUGCAGAAUUCAGUGAAUCAUCGAAUCUUUGAACGCACAUUGCGCCCCGUGGUAUUCCGCGGGGCAUGCCUGUUCGAGCGUCAUUUAAACCAAUCCAGCUUGCUGGGUCUUGGGCUUCGCCUCUGGGCGGGCCUUAAAAUCAGUGGCGGUGCCACUCGGCUCUAAGCGUAGUAAUUCUUCUCGCUAUAGGUCCCGGGUGGAGGCUUGCCAACAACCCCUAAUUCUUAAAGGUUGACCUCGGAUCAGGUAGGGAUACCCGCUGAACUUAAGCAUAUCAAUAAGCGGAGGA
rnacentral:rRNA from 2 species